ACCCUUUAAUGUUUGAUGUUCUAACGUGGACCCGUGAUCCGGGUUGCGGACAGUGUCUGGUGGGUAGUUUGACUGGGGCGGUCUCCUCCUAAAGAGUAACGGAGGAGCACGAAGGUUGGCUAAUCCUGGUCGGACAUCAGGAGGUUAGUGCAAUGGCAUAAGCCAGCUUGACUGCGAGCGUGACGGCGCGAGCAGGUGCGAAAGCAGGUCAUAGUGAUCCGGUGGUUCUGAAUGGAAGGGCCAUCGCUCAACGGAUAAAAGGUACUCCGGGGAUAACAGGCUGAUACCGCCCAAGAGUUCAUAUCGACGGCGGUGUUUGGCACCUCGAUGUCGGCUCAUCACAUCCUGGGGCUGAAGUAGGUCCCAAGGGUAUGGCUGUUCGCCAUUUAAAGUGGUACGCGAGCUGGGUUUAGAACGUCGUGAGACAGUUCGGUCCCUAUCUGCCGUGGGCGCUGGAGAACUGAGGGGGGCUGCUCCUAGUACGAGAGGACCGGAGUGGACGCAUCACUGGUGUUCGGGUUGUCAUGCCAAUGGCACUGCCCGGUAGCUAAAUGCGGAAGAGAUAAGUGCUGAAAGCAUCUAAGCACGAAACUUGCCCCGAGAUGAGUUCUCCCUGAGACUUAGAGUCUCCUGAAGGAACGUUGAAGACGACGACGUUGAUAGGCCGGGUGUGUAAGCGCAGCGAUGCGUUGAGCUAACCGGUACUAAUGAACCGUGAGGCUUAACC
rnacentral:rRNA from 1 species